AAUUAUACAAGGCUAACAAAUGCCAGAGGCUCCUGACUUGGACCAGUUAAAAAAUAAUGCAGCAGGGUUAAACAUGUAUUGUGACAUUUCAGACACCUCUAAUCAAUGUAGAAUAAAUAUAAAAACAUACACAGCUAAACGUACAGUAAAACUUAGUUUAAAAAGUCUGAUUCCCAUGUCAGAUUAAGUAACUGAAUGAAAAUAUACAUGAAAGAAAAGGCCAUGAUCAGGAAAAAACUGAUACAGGAGACAAACAGUGCUGUUCUAUUGCUGUUCUUCAUCUUAACAUUAGCUGAAACCACAAGGAUCAUUGUGAAUCAUAGAUUAAAGGAAACCUGCUUUGUAUUAGUUCCAAAUGUUUAUGCUUGCCUACUGUAGCUAGGUGUAGUUUUCAGCCUGUUGAGACUUUUCCCUACUAAUAGUUUUAAAAAGCAAAUGUUAAGAAAACCUGUGUGACUGACAUGUACAGCAUAAAUAUUUCCAUACACCAAAUAUAGUUGACCUAUUGCAUAUAGUAUAAAAAAUAAAAAAGACCAAACUAAAAUUCUUAAUAUUGACCACUUAACUAUGAAAAUGAGCCAGUUGGACAUAUACACCUUACAAUAAUUCCAAACACCAAAAAUAGUAGACAUAUUGUUUAGAGUAUC
rnacentral:lncRNA from 1 species